GGCAGGCUUACACAUGCAAGUCGAGGGGUAACAGUUCCGAUUUAUCGGAAGCUGACGACCGGCGCACGGGUGAGUAACGCGUAUGCAACCUGCCUGUAACUGAAGCAUAGCCCGGGGAAACCCGGAUUAAUUCUUCGUAAUACUUUUUAAAGGCAUCUUUUUAAAGUUAAAGCUUCGGCGGUUACAGAUGGGCAUGCGUGCCAUUAGCUUGAUGGUAAGGUAAAGGCUUACCAUGGCUACGAUGGCUAGGGGGUCUUAAAGGAUGGUCCCCCACACUGGUACUGAGACACGGACCAGACUCCUACGGGAGGCAGCAGUGAGGAAUAUUGGUCAAUGGGCGAAAGCCUGAACCAGCCAUGCCGCGUGCAGGAUGACUGCCCUAUGGGUUGUAAACUGCUUUUAUAUGGGAAGAAAGAUUUCUACGUGUAGAAGUUUGACGGUACCGUACGAAUAAGCAUCGGCUAACUCCGUGCCAGCAGCCGCGGUAAUACGGAGGAUGCAGGCGUUAUCCGGAUUUAUUAGGUUUAAAGGGUGCGCAGGCGGAAUAGUAAGUCAGUGGUGAAAUACUACAGCUCAACUGUAGAAUUGCCAUUGAUACUGUUAUUCUUGAGUGUAGUUGAGGUAGGCGGAAUGUGUAAUGUAGCGGUGAAAUGCAUAGAUAUUACACAGAACACCAAUUGCGUAGGCAGCUUACUAAGCUAUCACUGACGCUCAUGCACGAAAGCGUGGGGAGCAAACAGGAUUAGAUACCCUGGUAGUCCACGCCGUAAACUUUGAUCACUCGUUGCUGGCAAUAUAUCGUCAGUGACUAAGCAAAAGCAUUAAGUGAUCCACCUGGGGAGUACGUUCGCAAGAAUGAAACUCAAAGGAAUUGACGGGGGCCCGCACAAGCGGAGGAACAUGUGGUUUAAUUCGAUGAUACGCGAGGAACCUUACCUGGGCUUAAACUUUUUGAGACGGGUCUGGAAACAGAUCUUCCCUUCGGGGCUCAUUAAGAGGUGCUGCAUGGCUGUCGUCAGCUCGUGCCGUGAGGUGUCGGGUUAAGUCCCAUAACGAGCGCAACCCCUAUCGUUAGUUGCCAGCGGAUAAUGCCGGGGACUCUAGCGAAACUGCCAUCGUAAGGUGGAGGAAGGUGGGGAUGACGUCAAGUCAGCACGGCCCUUAUGUCCAGGGCUACACACGUGUUACAAUGGACGGUACAAAGGGUGGCUACCUGGCAACAGGAUGCUAAUCUCCAAAACCGUUCUCAGUUCGGAUCGAAGUCUGCAAUUCGACUUCGUGAAGUUGGAUUCGCUAGUAAUCGUGCAUCACCCACGGCACGGUGAUACGUUCCCGGGCCUUGUACACACCGCCCGUCAAGCCAUGGAAGCUGGGAGUGCAUGAAGUUCGUAACCAUUUAGGAGCGACAUAG
rnacentral:rRNA from 1 species